CCUUUCGUUGGUGAUCAUUUCUUGUAUUCUCAUAACUUAAUGUGCUAUUGAGGGGUGAUACUGUUAGGAGAUAUUAGUUGCUGGUCAUUCUUGAGGGUCAAAGGACUAAGAAAGAUACUAAGAUCUCAUGAUUUAAGUUCUCGUCAUCUGUCUCGAUAUUUUCUCCAAUUCUUCUUCAUUUUCAAAAAACGAUCAGUAAGAAGUUUAUUUCCAUUUCUCUUGAUUUGUAUCAACAGCAAAUACGAGUUGGUGAUUAUCACACCCUUUACGGCUAGCGGCGCUCUAAGAAAAGCAAGAUGGCGAAGGAGGCACAAGUUACUUCAAUCGUCAACGAGAGACAAGCUUCAGAGGAUAGAUUUGAAGUUGCCAGUAUACUCUGUUAUUUCGACUGUACAUGUAGUCUAGGGCAAAAAUAAAGCAUUAAUGACAAUUUAGUGGCAGAAGUUUCUCUUUUUAUUAUCGAUAUGCAGUUGUUUUUUUUUUCCUCAAACACAAACGUACAACAUCAUUAGCAUCUGAUGACUGAGAGGUACAAGUUCACUGUUUUGGGGGGCAAAUAACACCUUCAGCCGAGCAUUCCUCACCCGCUUUUUUAAGGACUGAAGAGGGAGAAGGUGAAAAAAAAAAAAAAAAAAACCGAGCUGGGAGCUUAUGGGUACCAGCGUUGGUACAAUGACAGUCCAUGAUUACCAACUGUUAAACGACAGGGGCAGAAAUGACGAUUUCAUGGCCCCCUACAGAUCUACCUUAGAGAAUCCUUGCUCACGAUAGCUUGUAGCUACAACCGUCAAUUAUCAGUCAUAUAACAUAAUCAAAUAAAUACAAUUUUCAUCACCAAGGGUAGAAAAUUCAAUCAGGAAAAAAUUGUAUAAAAGAUAAAGAAAAGACAGAUAUCCCACAGCCUAAACUGCAAUCAGGUAAAACUAUAAGUAAUUACAAAUCCACCCGAGUAUGUGCUUAAAAAGCAAUCAUUUUUUCCAGUUUUAUUACUGCAGUCAGCAUGCCAAUUACUCAAUCCCUAACAAUGCAUUCAUUGUCAACAUCUGGUUCUCACAAGAAAGCUGUUUUUUUUUUU